rnacentral:tRNA from 1 species
CUUUUAUUAGAAAUAA